UGAUCAUCAAGAAAUAUUUUAUUAAACAUUCAGGAGAAAUCUAGAUUCACUUUGCCUCUCAGUUCUUGUUAUUUCUAUCCAAAAUUUAUGAAUAGGAAUUGUUCUUAGAGGACCCCUGUAACCCCUAGUGACCAAUGAUAUCUUUGCUAAUUCUCAUUUACCUCCUUUUAUUUUUUAAUUUUUAUUUAUUUUUUGGCCGUGCCUGUGGCGUGUGGAAGUUCCCUGGCCAGGGAUCAAACCCACACCACAGCAGUGAUCCAGGUCAGUGACAAUACCAGAUGCCUAACUGGCUGAGCCAAUAAGGGAACUCCUCAUACACUCUCUUUUAAAAUACUGCAUUCUAGAAAUGCUUUUUUUUUUUUUUUUUGCUCAUUUGCUUGUGUUUUUUUUUGGGGGGGGGGUUGGGGGAUCAGCCCCAAAACUCAUUUGUAGCUUUUAAAUGCAGCUUUUGCCUUUGCUGCUGAAAAUAAAAGGCAUUCUGAAAUGUCCUUUAAAAAAGCACACACAUUUUUCUGCUUUUAAUAUGGGCCCCUCUCUGACACAUUGUAAUUCCCCAAGGAUUGCCAGCAAUGCUUCCACAGCCCCAUCUGCAGUUCUUUCUGUUACCUGGGGUGUAAUUGAUUGGUAAGUGUUGGAUUUAUUCAAAGCAGCUUACUGACCUCCCCAUGGGAUCUCUUUCACUUAUCUUGGGCUUCACAUUUUCCUCUUCUUUUCCACAUGGAGAUCAUUUGCCUUGAUAGCAAAGGUAGAAGCAAAAUAGGAAUUAAAUGAUUCUGCUUUCCCCUUACCUUCUAUUAGGAUCACAUCAUUUGCAUCCUGCAAUAAGUCAAAUCCAUCCUUUUGUCACCCAACUCUAAACACAGUCUUAACUGAAUGGUCUUUGUAGAUCUCAUCAGGUUUUGUAAUCCAUGGCUUACCCUGGACUUUUUGACACUGUUUUUAUAGAUUUAAAUUUCUUUUCCCUGAUGAUCUGUUCUUCUUCCCACACAUCCUAAUGCUUCUUAUUCUCAUUUAAUUACAGAACCAAAAUAAAUUUACAAAUUGAAAAUGAUAAGAGCAAUAAAAUUCAAAUAUAUGACAUUGAUUAAAUAUGACAGAUAGAUGUUUUCCUGAAGCAUUUGUUAGACCUGCAAGUUAUGGUCUUUUAUGGUCUUUUCUACUAGGAGUAGGUCCUUUUGAGUUUGGCAGCCCUGUACAGUCUUGUGAUGGAUGUUAGCCUAAUAGUUCUUCCAGUUUUUACCCUUCAAGCUAUACAAUAUUUGUUAGUUUAAUGUGCAUGUAUAUCAUUAUUGCCUUUACUUGUGGCAGGAAUAUGCCACUUAUCCAUUAAGUCUACCGCUAUUCUCUUUUGAUUAGCUUUUAUCAAAAGCAUCAUGAGCAAAAGUACAGAUAAGAUGUUGGACCACAUGGCAAUAUCCAUUCAGAAGUUGCUUACUGAUACAUUCAGAAUAUAUUUAAUAUUUAUUUGUAUGUCUCUGAAAUGAGAUUAAAAGUUUGAAGAAACUUAUUGAGAUUUUUGUGGAUCUAUAAAAUAUGACUUAAGGAUACUGAGGAAAUCCCUGAAGCUGUACAGUCUAUAUUUGCAGCUCUGUUUAAGGAAUAUUGAUAGGGACAACCAAACCCUUUUGUAUUUUUCUAAACAUUCUGCUGUUUACUCCCCAAAUUCUAUUCCUUCCUCUUGCAGUCAUUCUUGAACUGGGCAUGUCUACUUAGGCUCUCAAAUUCCUUAGUUUUCUAUGGAGAAUUUCAAAGUCACUGGAGAUCUGAUGGCAAGUUUCUCUGCUUUUAUCUUUGGUCUACCCAAUUUAAAAGCAAGGUACAUUUGUUAGUUGUGUGGUGGGCAAGGCUCUCCCUCUCAUUUCAGAUUCAUUGCCCCGAGAGAAGCCCUAACCCAUAUGAUAGUCAUCUGUGGCUGCCUCUAUGACCUUAGCAAGAAGUCUCCAAUCAGUAGAGUAAGUCCUUGUUUCCUGCUUGAGGUUGACCACUGCUAUCUCCGACCAUUGCUGUGUUCUACCUUUUCUGUAUAAGAUGGUUAUGAAUUCUCCAUUUGAGCUUAUUUUUUCCCCUUCCAUGAAAAUACCCUCAUGAGUUCCUGCCACAGUGCUGUGGGUUAAAGAUCUGGCAUCGCCACAGGUGUGGCAUAGCUUGCAGCUGCAGCUCAGAUUCAGUCCCUUGCCCAGGAACUUCCAUAUGCCUCCGGUAUGGCCGUAAAAUAAAACAAAUUUAAAAAAAAAUUUUUUUUAAGGGAAAAGAAAAGACCCUUAAACCAUUUAUUGGUUACAGUCCCUUCCAGCUUUAUGAAUGAUCUUCUGUUGUUUCUGGAAACAUUUUCCCCUCUUAACCAGUUGGGACAUGGAGCACUAUUCCCAAGCUCUAUCACCUGCUUUGAAACUUAUCAGACACUAGCUAACAUGCCCUGUAUGGAUGAUUCUUAGACUCUGGGAGGAUGGCACUUCAUUGCAUUACCAUCAGGACAGAAAGAAAGGACUCUCCGGCUAUCUAGACUUACCCAGUAUCUGACCAAACUGGAGUCCUUUGUCGGCCUACCUACAAUUCCUACAGGAGCCCUGACAUGCAGACUUCCUCUUGCCAAGCCUGUUGAGGAAGGCUUCCUCUUUACACCUUCUCUUUAUCACAGCCUGGGAAUGGUAUUUUCUUUAUGAUAUCCUCUCCUCUUUCUUCCUCUGUUUUAUUCUUUCUUCUCUUUGCCACCAUCUUUUACAGGUUACUCACCAGCCCUGAUUAAUACAAAAGAAUAUCAGCUGUACUUUUUGAAGGAUUUCAUGAACAUCGGCUAUGAUCUCCAUACUUAUAACUUCCUGCUCAGUCCCUCCAGCUCUAUUAACCUUUCCUCUCUUCUGCUUCUCUUGGAUUUCUCUCUGGGUACACACAAUAUCAAAUCAUCCUGCAUGUAAACCCACUCUUCAAAACUGAUGGUUUGGGACAUUGGUAACUCAGUUGUGUUUUCAGGCAAAGUGUUGCUGAGGAAUUGUUUCUUCUAUAGUUGGUCUGCCUGUCAUUAGAAAUUUGACUUCAACUUCUAUAUUUAUCCUCUGGAUGCCAUUCUCUUGAUGGCAAAGUGCUGGAUUUAUCAAACUUCUCUUCUACCUACACAUGACUUAGGAAAUUUCUCUCCACCAAUUAAUCAUGAUCCUGAAAUCAGCUCUAACAACCUGGGGACCCAAAGAGAGAUCUUUGUGAGUUGUCUAAUGAGAAUCAGGAGUUCCCUUCGUGGCUCAGCAGAAACUAAUCUGACUAGUAUUCAUGAGGACGCAGGUUAGAUCCCUAGGCUUGCUCUGUGGGUUAAGGAUCUGGUGUUGCCAAGAGCUGUAGUGUAGGUCACAGAAGCAGUUCAGAUCUGGCAUUGCUAUGGCUGUGGGUAGGCCAGUGGCUACAGCUCUGAUUCAACUCCUAGUCUGGCAACCUCCAUAUGCUGUGGGUGCAGCCCUAAAAAGACAAAAACAAAACAAACAAACAUAAUAAAAUUAAAUAAAAUCAUGACCUUGUUGGGUGGUAUAAAGUUUACUUAUAUUGUUCAUCUUAUAGUCUUUAGUUUAGAUUGCCUUUGACCAAUGUCAAAUAAUCAAUUUUACCCCUAGCUCCCACCUCCAAACAGUCUGUGCCAUAGAAAAAGAACAAAUGAAUGAUUGUUAAUAAGGUUGUUAUAUCUUCCCUCAAUUUCACACAGUCAUUAAAUAUAGACUCCAAAAUUACAUUUUCUAAGUUAUGCCCUCACCAAAAUAUAUGUAAUGUAAUUAGUGGUGGAAUUUUAAGAGAUGUUAUUGUAGGAGAACCUCUUUGAGGUCUUUUCCUAAAGGAUACAGUCAAGAGUUCAGCUGGUAAUCAAAAAAAGUACCAUAUUAGAAAUUCUUUCUAAAUCAUCAGAUGGUGACCUGGCUAUACUGAAGUGCUUCAUCUGGGUGGUGAAUUCAAUAACUUUUCUGGUUGUGUUAUUUAUAAAAUGGCUUUUGCAUAUAGAUAUUCAAAUAUAUGCAGUUGGUUAUAAUCCCGGAGAAAAUAGGAGGGUGAAAUGGAUUCCUGAGUCAUUAGUACCGAGAAUUAUCUCAAACACAAUAGAUUUUCCUCAUGACAAAUCACAUAAAAUCUCCAUAGCAACUUCAUAUAAUUAUGCAUAAGAUUUCAGUGUAGUAACAAAGCUAAGCCCAGAAGAAAUUGUAAAGAAUAGUGAUAUAAGGUGAGACGGAUGUGAGGGUGGAUGGCACAUAGGAAAAUUGAAGAGGGGCAAUUCUAAGAUGUGGAAAAUGCACAAAGAACCAAAAAGAUUGUCUGCUUUGUGCUUUGGAGAAUACUGAUUAAGUCUGGAAAUUGGAGACUGGGGGCUGCACUAUAUUACUAAUAAUGCAGAGAUGCCUGCUAGAACCACCAUUGUUCAAGGAGUGUCAGUGUCAGCAUUUCCAUUAUAAUUUUUUUCUGAGUUUAUGGCAACUAUAAGAAAGUAUCUCUAGGCAAUACUUUAGAAACUAGAUUGAAAUUGAGAAAUGCUUAUAUAAUUUUUUUGAAUUUAUGAAAAUUGAGCUCUUAUAU
rnacentral:lncRNA from 1 species